GGACGAACGCUGGCGGCGUGCUUAACACAUGCAAGUCGAGCGGUAAGGCCCUUUCGGGGGUACACGAGCGGCGAACGGGUGAGUAACACGUGGGUGACCUGCCCUUAGCUCUGGGAUAAGCCUGGGAAACUGGGUCUAAUACCGGAUAUGACUCCAUGACGCAUGUUGUGGGGUGGAAAGCCUUGUGCGGCUAGGGAUGGGCCUGCGGCCUAUCAGCUUGUUGGUGGGGUGAUGGCCACCAAGGCGACGACGGGUAGCCGGCCUGAGAGGGCGACCGGCCACACUGGGACUGAGACACGGCCCAGACUCCUACGGGAGGCAGCAGUGGGGAAUCUUGCGCAAUGGGCGAAAGCCUGACGCAGCGACGCCGCGUGGGGAUGAC
rnacentral:rRNA from 1 species